AUUCCAGCUCCAAUAGCGUAUAUUUAAGUUGUUGCAGUUAAAAAGCUCGUAGUUGGAUUUCGGGUGGGACGCAGCGGUCUCGCAUUGCGUUUGUACUGCUGCAGCCCUCCUUCUUGCCGGGGGCGGCCCUUCGGACUUCACUGUCUGGGGGUCAGAAUCGGCGAUGUUACUUUGAGUAAAUUAGAGUGUUCAAAGCAAGCUUACGCCCUGAAUAUAAUAGCAUGGGAUAACACGACAGGACUCUGGCCUAUCGUGUUGGUCUAUAGGACCAGGGUAAUGAUUAAGAGGGACAGUCGGGGGCAUUCGUAUUCCGUUGUCAGAGGUGAAAUUCCUGGAUUUACGGAAGACGAACAUCUGCGAAAGCAUUUGCCAAGGAUGUUUUCAUUA
rnacentral:rRNA from 1 species